AACGCACGAGACCUGCGGACCUGCGGAGGGAUCAUUCGUGAAGCAGGCGCUUCGUCGCCCUUCUCUACCCUUCAACCAUGUGGUCUUCUGCCAUUGCCUCGGGGGGGUUGAAGCGGCCUCGGCCGUCGGGGCCCCUCGCUGGGCCCCGCCCCCCCGCGUGCCCUUGAUAAAGUCUUGGAGUGAUGUUUGUGUCUGAUCAGUCCGGUGGACAUAAUGAAAAUAAAACUUUCAACAAUGGAU
rnacentral:misc_RNA from 1 species